rnacentral:rRNA from 1 species
GACGAACGCUGGCGGCGUGCCUAAUACAUGCAAGUCGAACGCAGUGGGGACGGGUGAGUAACACGUGGGUAACCUCCCAUCAGAGGGGAUAACACUUGGAAACAGGUGCUAAACCGAUACUGAUGGAUGAACCCGCGGUGCAUUAGCUAGUUGGUGGGGUAACGGCGCCCCAAGGCCACGAUGCAUAGCGGACCUGGGAGACUGAUCGGCCCAACUGGGACUGAGACACGGCCCAGACCCCGACGGGAGGCAGCAGUAGGGAAUCUUCGGCAAUGGACGAAAGUCUGACCGAGCAACGCCGCGGGAGUGAAGAAGGUGUUCGGAUCGUAAAACUCUGUUGUUAGAGAAGCGGUAUCUAACCAGAAAGCCACUGCUAACUACGUGCCAGCAGCCGCGGUAAUUC